UGGGGUUGGGCGCGGCGAGGUCGGGGGCGCGGCGGGGAGGCGGAGCGCAGACCCCGCCCCGCGGGCCGCUGGAAAAGUUUGCGCCGUGGCUCGCGCGGGCAGAGGCUAAAGGAGCCGGUCCCGGGGACACGCGACGGGGUCCCGGAGCCGAGCGCGGUGGCAGGACGAGCCGGAGCGAGACCUCCGGGCCCCAGGACUCUCCGGUGUUCCACCCGAACGGAGGCACGGGCGCGAGGAUGCCAGUGGCCCAAGCGCCCUUCCCAGACGGAGAUGACUUGGGGAGCUCAUUGCCAAAUACCUUCAUUCGUCCUGUGGUGGUCUUGGUAGGAACUCAAUCCUGGGCCCUUCCUGAGAACACUCCAAGAGGAGAAAAUGCAAGAAGCCUGGCUGAAAACAAAGAGGGUCAAGAGCUCUCAUAAGAAAAGCCAUUGCCUCCGAUGGACAGUCCUGGUGCCGGGAAAGCAUGCAUGAGGAAGCCUGGGCCUGGUCCCAGCCCAACUGCGUGCCUGGAGCUCCCUGGACGGCACUCAGAUCUGUUGAGUUAGCUUCUGAGCCUGGUGUCUCUGAGAGAACGAGCUGUGGAAAAUCCACCGGGAAGAAGGAAGCCUGACUGGGGAUGAAUUCGCUUCCAUGCUCCAAAGGAGAAAGAGGAGCUGCGGAGUCCUCACCAGGGGAUGAGUUAUCCCCAGGGAUGGUGUUAUCUCACUGGAAGCUCCGUGAAUGGGCCCAGAGCCAAGCGCAGGCACCCGAGACUGUGUGUGAAGCCCCGUGCGGUGAACUGCCUCUGACAGCACAGUGAGGUCACCUAGGAAGUCCGGAGCCAGGGAAAAUAUUCAUUAGCAGUGGAAUUUGCUGGGGCCGUGAAACGGCCAAGUCAUUAUUUCCUUCCUAAAUUCUUUUAAACGGAAAAAAAAAAAAAAAAAUCUGGCUUUCAAAGAAAUUUUGCCUGUGGGCAAGUACUUGGUCUUUUAAUUCAGUUUGGAGAAUAAGCUGGUUAAUUUCCCUGGGAGAACAUACCUUUUAAAAGUGCAGCAUCCUGCCUCCAACCAGAAGUUUCUCACUACAGUAACUCAUUGCACUCUUGUUUUUUUUUGCCAUCACAGAGAGAGAGGAAGAGAGAGAGAGACCCCAGCCUUUGUGGAAAUAUUUUCCCUUAUUUUUUUCUUCUUCCUUCUUUUUAUAGUUUGUUUAUUUUUCAAAUUGACAUGUAGAGAAAGUGACUCGCCGUCGUAGAAACCACAUCUGGAACCCAUUGGCCCAUCCUGUUCUCGCCCCUCCCCGCAGGCGCUCCUUCUGGAAUGGAGGCAAGGAAGCUUCCGUGGUGUUGCUGGGCCUAACGUGAGUGACGUGCUUGGAACCACCGUCUAGAAGGCAUCUUAUUUCUUCUCUGGAAAGAGAAGACGCCCUGGUGUUGAAAUG
rnacentral:lncRNA from 1 species